UUCACCUGCCAUAGUAUCAGCCACUUUCAAUCCAGGAAGUGAACAGUCAGUUGAGACAUGGAGGCACACUUUCAACCAGAGAAUUAAACUAAACUAGGCUGCUGCUUUCACUCUUAUUAACUAAACAAGUUCCAGAUUAAAAGGCCAUGGAUGUAAAGUUUACUGCCCUGGCUUACUGCCAUCUGGCCCUUUUGUUCAGUGUGGCCCAAACAGAAAAUGGGACUAGCACUCCUCAACCAACCUUUAGCUUAACGACCCUUACGACACUAACUCAGUCUGACUCUACUUCACCAAUCUCAAAUUUGACUGAGGAGACAACACUAUAUACCAGCACACAGUUGGAUAACAAAACUGUCGUUAGCACCACUGCGGCAACAACCGAGAGGACAAGUCACUACCAGACUUCUCAGUCAGCAACCACCUUGACUCCUCUAACAAACAGUACAACUCUGAGGACUACAAGCUCUAGCACUCAAAUGUCAACAUUUACUGCACAAACAACGGCAGCAAUCCAGACCACAGUAGAUAACUCAAGUACACCAAGUACUCCAGUAAUUACAACUGAAAAUGCAACUCAUACUACCAUGAACAGAACCAGACAAGAUGUGGGCCUCAAUGUCUCUGAAAGGAAUAUGACUAUUGUCUUCAGCACUGUACUUGGAGCAUUUGCUGUGUUGUU